GUUCUCCGAACUGAAUCCCACCACUGAUAAUAAUAUAUUGGGAGAACAGGGCAAUGCAGUGACCUUCCAUCUUUCAUCCCGGAGAAGGGUGGAGUGGACGGCUCAGCAAACGACAGCAAUGUCUUCAGAUAUUUCCUUGGAAUUUGCUACAGCCAUGUUGGAAAAAAACAACGGCUUGCUGUGAAGGCAACCCUAG